AUGGAGAGCUACACACCAACUGCAUUUGUAGUGACAAUCUUGUACAUUUUUGCCACAUCCUCUGCACAAGGAAUUUGCCAUCAUGACAGAGGGAGCCACAAAGCAGGUUUCAGUGGACAGAUGGAAGGAAGCAAUCAUUUGCACCAUUGUGGGAACGUGUCUUACAAUAUCUCAGAAAGUUCCUGUUGUAAUGGUUAUAUAACUCCAGGAUUAAGCCAAUUGGUGGCUGACUGCUGUGGUUCUGUAGCUUACAAUCCCCUUAAUGAGAUUUGCUGUAAAGGGAAUAUUCUGACACAAAGCAGCACUCAUGUAAAAUGCUGUGGCAAAGACAUGUACGUGACAACGACUCAUUUGUGUUGUGGUGGCAACAACAUAUUUCAACGGAAGGAAGAUCAUUCUUGUUGUGGCAAGGAAACAUAUGACAUGACAACCCACUGCUGCUGUACUAACCUUACACUAGAAGUAAAGCCUAAAAAUGAAACUUGCUGUCCAAAAGCAACAGCUAAAAAGAAAGAAUUCCAGCUAGGCUCUCCUCCCACUCGCACACUCCCCAAAACCUCAGAACUGAAGUGUCGGACAAUGCCCUUCAAUCCCCAGGAAAACAUUUGUUGCUUAGGGAAUCUGUACAAGAAGGCAUCAGCACUUACUAAGUGCUGUGGCGUAGAUGCUUACACUCUGUCAGAUGACAAUGUGCUGUGCUGUAAUGGAAUCCUUCAUCUCAAUGUGCCUGAGCAGUCUGAGUGUGUUGGAGGUGUUAUAUAUACUCCAGCAAACACUACUUGCCAAAUGUUGAUCCGUCCUCGUCUUGGCGAGCACUGCUGUGGAGGACAAACCUUCAAUCCUCGCACGCAUAUUUGCUGUAACGGACACAGCCACAGCAAGAUGAAUGGCAAUUUUUGUUGUGGUUCAGAAGUCUAUGACCACCACAACCAGUUCUUGAGAUGCUGCUCAGGUCAUCUCUACAACCUAACCCAUUUAAGUGGAAAAGCAGAGUGCUGUGGAAACCUAUUGCUGCAAUAUAAUAACAAUCAAACUUGCUGUUCCUCCUCAACCAAUUCCAUAAUUUAUCAGACCAAACCAAACCACCAUUGCUGUGGGCAUUACUACUACAACACGUCCUUGUGGAGCUGCUGUGCUGAACGUCUCAAACCAACACCAAAGCCUAACUGCCUUCCUGCAGAAUACAGACUUAAACAACUAACAGACCUGAUCCCUGAAAUGUGCAAUAAAACAGUGUUCUUGGGCAAAGUGGAGAGUGUGGCACUUGAAAAUGAUCAGCGUCACAUUGUUUUGAAAGUUGUUUGGCAGGUCAAUGUAAAAUCAGAAAAGGACAUCAAAGACCCUUGGCUUCAUGUGUCCCUGGAUCACUGCAACUCUCCUGCCACAGACAACGGCAAAACCUACCUUUGGGAGGAAAAACACAAUGGGAAGUACAAGCUUCUCUCUCAUCCUGUUGACCUAACAUCUGACAUUUAUAUGUUAUAUUCUGUAUGUUACCAAAAGAAGGGAUAGACACAUGGAUUGAGGUCUAUUUCCCAUCAUUUCCAAAGCAUGCUGGUUGUAUUAACAUUUCUGUCCUGAGGAUAAUUUUUUAUCCUAAUAUUAUUUUAUCAUUAAUGCUAAAUGACUCUAGUAUGUGAAUGGCCACAAUAUUUAAAAGCUAAGAACUUUUGUCCCCUUAAGGCAACUUUCUGAAGUCUCUAAUGUGAGCAGCAUUAUGGCAGAGGCAUCACAUGUUGUGUAUCUGUGAAUUUUGCCUCGUUGGUUAAUAUAUUUCAACCUAAUAUUGGAUUGAACCCUGUAUGGAGUGUGCAAAAGGGAUAGUUCUCCCUAAAAAUGAGAAUUUGCUGCGAAUUUACUCACCUUUAGUCCAUCUAAGAUCUAGGUGACUUUUUGCUGAGUAGAAGAUUUUUAGCUGAUACCAUGGUUUUUGGUGAUUCAUAAAAUGCAAGUCAGUGGCUGCACGUUUUUGAGAAAAAAAAAAUAAAAAAAAAAUGUAUUUCUAAGAAAAAAAAUUA
ensembl:lncRNA